GACGAACGCUGGCGGCGUGCUUAACACAUGCAAGUCGAACGGAAAGGCCCUGCUUUUGCGGGGUGCUCGAGUGGCGAACGGGUGAGUAACACGUGAGUAACCUGCCCUUGACUUUGGGAUAACUUCAGGAAACUGGGGCUAAUACCGGAUAGGAGCUCCUGAUGCAUGGUGGGGGUUGGAAAGUUUCGGCGGUUGGGGAUGGACUCGCGGCUUAUCAGCUUGUUGGUGGGGUAGUGGCUUACCAAGGCUUUGACGGGUAGCCGGCCUGAGAGGGUGACCGGCCACAUUGGGACUGAGAUACGGCCCAGACUCCUACGGGAGGCAGCAGUGGGGAAUAUUGCACAAUGGGCGGAAGCCUGAUGCAGCAACGCCGCGUGCGGGAUGACGGCCUUCGGGUUGUAAACCGCUUUCGCCUGUGACGAAGCGUGAGUGACGGUAAUGGGUAAAGAAGCACCGGCUAACUACGUG
rnacentral:rRNA from 1 species